GCUCCAGUGGCGCAAUCGGUUAGCGCACGGUACUUAUAUACAGCAGUACAAAGUUGGGCAAUGCCGAGGUUGUGAGUUCGAGCCUCACCUGGAGCA
rnacentral:tRNA from 1 species